UGAGGCCAGCAUUCUGUGAUUCACCUGGAAAACACAAGUCCCCACUUCUUCCUCAUUUCUGUGCCUCUCUGGAGGGAACCCUGGCAGCCCUUGCCUCAGUUUCUGGGACAAUCCAGGCAGCUCUCCAUCACUGGAGAACACCAGAUGGAAUGGAUGGAGGCAAUUUUGCAGAAAGUGCUUUAAGAGCGGCUUCCUCAGUGGUCUUUCCAGCUGGAAGCAGAGCGUCCAGAAAGCACCGCAUUCUCAGCACUGUUUCAUCGCCUCAAGAGCUACAGAUGGCUUCCCCAAGCACCUGAAGUCGAUGCUGCUUGCCUGGAUGGAAUAAGCUGCAAGCUGCAGAAACUCUUGUCUUUUCACAGUGGAACUCAGACUCCAGUUUCUUUCUGCCUUGAGAGUGAAAGAAAGGAGAAGACACAGAGUAGGAAAGAGCCAGAAGGUGGAGAAAUUAAUGUUUAAUGCUUGAUACUCCCUGGGCCUGGCCAGCUGCUCAAAAAAAGGAAGGAGGUGAUGAAGAGAGAAAGAAAGAAAGGAUGGAAGGAAGGAAGGAUGAAGUGGACAAUGAGCCCAGAGCCCUCACCUGAGUUCCAAACAUUUAAGUCAAACUGCCAACUUCAUUCUCCACUUGGACGAUUUCUCAACAUGUACAAAACCAAGUCCUGAUUUUUCCGUGCCCUCAAAUCUGUUCUAUCUGAAGCCUCUCUAUCUCAGUUACUGAUCCUGGCUGAUGGAUAUAAUGAAGGCAUGAAAUAUACUAGUUGAACAAGGAAAUGAACUUGAACCAAAUUGUGAAGGUCUCUGCAGUGAAAUAUUAAAGAUUAGCAAGCUAAACAGAGAAAAAGAUAACACUCAAGAAGCUGCCUAUAUGUAAGAGAUUCUUUUGAGAACUUUCAAAUGGCUCCUUUCUACAAAAGACCUGGGAAUACUUAACCCCCCACCACUAGCACACUCAAAGCUCAAGGCAAAUGCAUUUUCAAGAUUGACAGGGUCUUGGACUCUGAAAGUCUUUGGACCCGAGAAAAAUCGUAUUAUCUAAGAGUGCAGUUAUUCUGACACAGACUGACAUCAGGUGCCCGUGACAUGAAACACGGAAGAGAAUAAUAGCAUCUACCUUAUAGGAAGACAUACUAUAUUCUGGACCACAUAUCUGAUAAUUCUUACAGCCCUUUGAAGAUAAUCAUAACUAGAAUAUUAUCUUAUUUUGUAGCUCAUAGAUGUCAGAAGACUAGCUCAUAAUUUUAUUGCAGAUCAUAGCAGAACCAAGAUUUGAACUCAGACCUGUCUCAUUCCACAACUCAUUUUCCUUGAAGUCAAUAGACGCCACUGAUCUCUAAAUACCUACAAAAGGGGCUCGGAGGUGGAGAGGGGAUGUCUGAGGAGCCUUAGGACUACCACCCAAUGUUCUGUCUUUAGAUAGAGAUGCUAUCACCAAUCUCUCACACAUACUCCUCCUCAUCUCAUUUCUGUUCGUGUACUUGGUUCUCAGUGUAAGAUUUUGUUAGAAGAAAGAGGCAUGUUGGUAAAAUAAGAAAUAAUAUAUCAAAAAUAAAAUAAAAUUGUUUGAAA